GAAAGCCGGAUGCUUGGAAACUUGCUUGUCCGGUUUGGACGGGGGCUGAUUGUAAAUAAAACAG
rfam:Candidatus Phytoplasma aurantifolia strain WBDL phyWBDL_0072, whole genome shotgun sequence.